UACGUAGGGUGCAAGCGUUGUCCGGAAUUAUUGGGCGUAAAGAGCUCGUAGGCGGUCUGUCGCGUCGGCUGUGAAAACCUGGGGCUUAACUCCGGGCCUGCAGCCGAUACGGGCAGACUAGAGUUCGGCAGGGGAGACUGGAAUUCCUGGUGUAGCGGUGAAAUGCGCAGAUAUCAGGAGGAACACCGGUGGCGAAGGCGGGUCUCUGGGCCGUAACUGACGCUGAGGAGCGAAAGCAUGGGGAGCGAACAGG
rnacentral:rRNA from 1 species